ACCGAGUGCUGACCAACCCGCUCCACUUGCCAAAAGUUCAGUGCUGGGGAAAGACAGGGCAACUCAAACACACGAACUUUGUGCUGCCAGACCUUCCUUGUGGACUACUGUGUAAAGCAGAAAGGCAAGAUGGGGUCAUCCAGCCCAACCAGUGCUUUUCAUUUGCCUCUGAUAUUUGUAAUGGGUGCAGUCAACCCCUCCUGUUUGCUGCCCUUGUAUGUAGCUUAAUAUGGAAAACAAAACAUGGGCUGCUGAGCUGUGUGUGCUACCAUGUAUGGGGAAAAGGACUUGCCCAAAGCAGAGGCAUAAAUUCUGCUUUCUACUUAUGUGAAGAAUAAAAUG